AAAGUGGCGUACGGGUGAGUAACACGUAAGUAAUCUACCUUCGAGUGGGGAAUAACAGUCGGAAACGGCUGCUAAUACCGCAUAAUGCAGCGGCAUCGAAAGAUGACAGUUGUUAAAGGAGCAAUUCGCUUGAAGAGGAGCUUGCGGCAGAUUAGCUAGUUGGUAAGGUAAUGGCUUACCAAGGCUACGAUCUGUAUCCGGUCUAAGAGGACGGUCGGACACACUGACACUGAAUAACGGGUCAGACUCCUACGGGAGGCAGCAGUCGGGAAUUUUGGGCAAUGGGCGAAAGCCUGACCCAGCAACGCCGCGUGAAGGAUGAAGUUUUUCGGAAUGUAAACUUCGAAAGAAUGGGAAGAAUAAAUGACGGUACCAUUUAUAAGGUCCGGCUAACUACGUGCCAGCAGCCGCGGUAAUACGUAGGGACCAAGCGUUGUUCGGAUUUACUGGG
rnacentral:rRNA from 1 species